GAGGUGUUAGUAAAACAAUAACAUAGCCUUGUCAAGGCUAAGUUACAGGUGAAAGGCCUGUACACCUCA
rnacentral:tRNA from 1 species